GUAGGGAAUAUUGGGCAAUGGAUGCAAGUCUGACCCAGCCAUCCCGCGUGCCGGAAGAAGGCCCUCAGGGUUGUAAACGGCUUUUGACGGUGAAGAAUCGACAGGAUGCGUCCUGUUUUGACGGUAGCCGUUGAAUAAGCACCGGCUAACUCCGUGCCAGCAGCCGCGGUAAUACGGAGGGUGCGAGCGUUGUCCGGAUUUAUUGGGUUUAAAGGGUGCGUAGGCUGGAAGGUCAGUCAGUGGUGAAAAGCUAUCGCUUAACGAUAGUCUUGCCGCAGAUACUUCCUUUCUUGGAUGAGGAGGAGGCCACUGGAACGGAUGGUGUAGCGGUGAAAUGCAUAGAUAUCAUCCAGAACACCGAUUGCGAAGGCAGGUGGCUGUACCUUAAUCGACGCUGAUGCACGAAAGCAUGGGGAGCAAACAGGAUUAGAAACCCGGGUAGUCC
rnacentral:rRNA from 1 species